rnacentral:tRNA from 1 species
GGAGAGGUGGCUGAGUGGACUAAAGCGUCGGAUUGCUAAUCCGUUGUACGAGUUUUUCGCACCGGGGGUUCGAAUCCCCCCCUCUCCG